AAAAAUACACCAAAAAAAAAAAAAGAUUUAUUUGAAACAAGAAUAACUGUUUUUGCAAAUUUCUCUGGUCAUUCAUUUACAAGGGGAAACAUGAAAGAAGAAAAUAAAGCAAAGGCAUGCAGGACUAAAUUCCAUUAAUAAUAAACUAUAUGCUGGGAUCCAUCUUCAUAUUCAUUAUUUGUGAAAAAUUAGUUUAGCCUUAACUAACAAUUGCCUCAGUUUUAACAAAUAACUGUAUCCAUAGAAAUUCAGUAAGGGAUCACUUCACAAAAUUUUACUUUCAGCAUUUUUUGAGAAAUAGAUCUAACUGAACACACAACAUUCAUACUCCAUUAGAAAAAUGGUACAUAAUAUUAUUUAUCUUCUUCUUUAUGAGUGGGAAAGGUGUGAGUUAUGAUGGCAAGCAUUGUGCCAUAUAGCAAGUGAUUUUAAAAGCAAAACAUGAUCUUAGAAAAAAGCAUAGGAAAUUUUUAUAUUAUUUAUACUUUCUCAAGAAUGUCCAGAAAUUUCUGCUGUCCAGAAAUUUCUGCCACAUGUUUCAACACUGAAAUUUAGUUUUGCUCUACUUUUUCAUCCAGAUGAAAGGUGUCUUACUGCUUUCACAGUGCUUUGAAUAACUAAAACCCUAUAUCACUCAAACACCAGUGAGAGUGUCCAAUGCAUAUCCAUGUGCACCACUGGUAUGUUCUCUUUUAUUUUCUC
rnacentral:misc_RNA from 1 species